rnacentral:lncRNA from 1 species
AGAAGCCAGAGCAGCAUGUCCCUGCUUGUCACUGUGACUGCCAGAACACCCUUCCUGUGAUUGUUCCUGAAGGAGCCUGGUCUGUCUGUGGGUGAGCCCCAGCCAAGGGAGCAGGAGAGCUGGUUGUCAGGAUCACCCUGGGGGACUCCCUCCUGUUGCUGGGUAAACAACCCAGCACAGGGGUGGAGAGGAGGGAGGAGGGAGACUUCCAGAUCCACAGCCCUGAGUGUGGCGGCCUUCCUCUCCUCCCUCCUAAUGCCUUUGGCCCUCUCUGGCCCCAGCCCUCAGCUCCCCAGCCCUGCGUUUUCUCAGGCAUCUUCAGCCUUCCUGGGAACGCCAGCCCUGCCAGGAUUUGAAUUUGAUGCUCAGGACUAGGAGGAAGGAUCCUCGGCAGACAGCCCAGAGCAACUCGGAAGGGCCCGUGGAGAAGGGAAGGCAGCCAUCGAUGAGAAGCACCAGGCCACGGGCUCUUCAGCCUUGGAGGGAGCAGAGAGAUUUGGAGGCUGAGAUGGGGCAGCACUUCAUGGACCUAGAGAUGGGGGAUGCUAAGGCCCAGGAGAAGGAGGAAGAGCAGCCUCUGGGUCUCCUUCCUGCCUCAAAGGGCUGGGACCAAGGCCAAGUGAUCAAGGCCAUUUGGAGAGGCCAACUGGGCCUGAUGAAGCAGUUGCUGAGGCAGGGGACCUGCAUCAAUGAGAGGUGAGCAGCCGCAUCCGAGCCCUAACCCAAGCCCCCUGGCAUUGAGGUGGAAGACUCAGGCUUCCUUUCGUUUGUUUUCAACCCCCACCUUCCAUCUUAGUAUCAGACUCUUCUAAGAAUCAGUCCUGUGUAUCAGUUCCAAGGCAGAAGAGUGGUAAGAGCUAGGCAAUGGGGGUUAAGGGAUGUACCCAGGAUCAUCAAGCCAGGAAGUGUCUGAGGUCAGAUUUGAACCCAGACCCUUCUGUCUUCAGGUCUGCUUCUCUAGCCAUUGAGCCACCUUUAUGCCUCUUCUCCAGCUCAUUUUUCAGAUGAGGAAAUGGAGGCAAUGGGGGUUACGUGACUUACCCAGGGUCGCACAACUAGGAAGUGUCUGAGGCCAGAUUUGAACCCAGGACCUGCUAGGUCUGCCUUUCCAUCCACUGAGCCUCCCGGGAUAUCUAUUUUGAGGGUAAAGAGAAGUUAAAAAUGAAUUUCCCAGUGGAAGUCUUUGUGUCUGUCUUAUGAAGCAAAGCUUGGACUCAACAUUCAGAAAGCUUCUGGAUUCCAUUUCCAGUGAGCCUAGCUCAGUCACUUGGUGAUGGUGGACAACCCAGGAGGGAGCACAGUGUCUGGCAUUUAGUCAGAACUUAAUAAAUGUUGAUUAAUUGAUUGGAGGUACUUUCCC